CCUACGGGUGGCAGCAGUGAGGAAUAUUGGUCAAUGGGCGCAAGCCUGAACCAGCCAAGUCGCGUGAAGGAUGACGGCCCUACGGGUUGUAAACUUCUUUUGUAAGGGAGUAAAGUGAGGCACGUGUGCCUUUUUGCAUGUACUUUAUGAAUAAGGAUCGGCUAACUCCGUGCCAGCAGCCGCGGUAAUACGGAGGAUCCGAGCGUUAUCCGGAUUUAUUGGGUUUAAAGGGAGCGUAGGUGGGUUGUUAAGUCAGUUGUGAAAGUUUGGGGCUCAACCGUAGAAUUGCAAUUGAUACUGGCAGGCUUGAGUACAGUUGAGGUAGGCGGAAUUCGUGGUGUAGCGGUGAAAUGCUUAGAUAUCACGAAGAACUCCGAUUGCGAAGGCAGCCUACUGGACUGCCACUGACGUUGAUGCUCGAAAGUGUGGGUAUCAAACAGGAUUAGAUACCCUUGUAGUC
rnacentral:rRNA from 1 species